rnacentral:lncRNA from 1 species
ACAAAUCAGUGAAACACACUGGGCUGCUGAUUUGCUCCCAGCAACAUCCGCAUUAAAUUCAGGGGCCUCAGCACCUUUGUGAAAUCUGCUCAGCGAGCCCUUUGUGCUAACACCAGAGCACCUCUCACUCUCACCAAAACUCUUCUGAACUGGCAUGGUUCCCAUCAUCUAUGACCGAGUCGCAGAAGUGGGAAGAGAAGGCGAAGAAGAAGAUAUGUGGAGAGAAAGAAAGAUGACAGAGUGGGGAGUCGGGAGCUAGGCCUCCCUAACAACCCAAGCAUGCUUGCUGUUCCCUAAGGUCACUGGUAGCCAGCUCAUUGGAACAAGGCUGUGCUGUCUCUAGUAUAUCUCAGGAAGUGACAGAAGGGACACAUGAGAGUGAGACCUUAGGGCUGUUGGCUUGAAGGCUGGUGCCAGGCAAGGAGAUGCUCACCUGAUGCCAGCAGAAGAGAAGCUCACCUCCUAGAAAGAGGUUGCAUCCAGUUCUAUUCUGCAAUUUGUCAGACCACCUCACAAGACAAUUUUAUGCUAAGACAAUAAUAGGUCAAUGAUGGGUGGAAUCACAUCUUGGCCUGGACGGGUUAGCCAUCCAUACAUACUACCUCUUGCAUUCUAUUUGAAACUAAGUCUCAUGCCAGGACUCCAGAGAUUAGCUCGGGGUGAGCCGCUGAAUCUUUUUGUUCCUCUUCCCUGUGUAUCCACAUUGAGCAGAUCUCCUUUUUCUGUUUUCAACUGUUUAUUGUGCCUUUCAGUGGCCUAAUGAGGACGCAUGGUUGAGCCCAGCGUGUUAAGGCUUCCAGGAAGCAGGCUCUGAGUCCAACAGCUGCAGAAACCCACAGAAGGACCAGCUGUCUCAAGUGGCCCCCUCACAAGCAUCUCUCCUGUGCAUUUCUUAAAUGCUUGGUUUCUGCUCAGUGUUGUUCAUGGAGAGAGAGGAUAUGUGGUCACUGGGGACUGGAUCUCUCCCUGCAGAGCACUUACAAUCUGAGAAGAACACGGCAUGACUCAGAGGACAUGGGUUAAGGUGAUCUGAUCUCCGAGACACCCUGUUGUCCAAAGCACAAUGGAAUGACCCACACUUUCCAUUCCACCGAGACAGAGAAAAAGAUUGCUCAAAAAGUGUGUGUGGGGGGGGGGGGCGGGGAGAGCCUUGGAGGUAGUGCUAAAAAGCUCUUCCAGGAAAAGCCCAGAGGCAGGAUCCAUUAACUAGAAAUGCCUAUUCUUGUCCCAUUUAAAAACCAUAUAUCUGGAAUAUUAUUCAGUGAUAGAAAGAAACAAAAUACUGUACAUGGUUCUGCCUGGAUGAACCUCAACAACAUUAUAGACAAAAGAAUCUGGACCCAAAAUCCUCACAUGUUUAAUGGUUCCACUGGUAAAAUAUACCCAGAACAAGUCAAUGUACAGAGACAGAAAGUAGAUUUGUGAUUGUCUAGAGUUGAAAGGAGAAAUAGGAACUAACUAUAAAUGAGUGUGAACGAUCUUAUUGGGAAUAUAAAAAUGUUUUCUCUAACUUAAACAUUGUUCUAGAG